UUCAAUUGGAGGGCUUUUGAAUGCAACAUGUGGAAAUGCAACCGAGAUGAUCAUAGCAUGAUUAGCACUUCACCAGAACAAAGUUCAUGUUGUGAAGUUGUCCCUGCUGGGUUCCAUUCUCUCAAACCUUCUCUUGGUUCUUGGUAGUUCACUCCUCUAUGGUGGUUUAGCCAAUCUUAAGAGAGAACAAAGAUAUGACAGAGUAUGCAGGAUGUGGCAAUUGCUUAUGGAUUCAAUGCUAUUAGGGAUCAAGCAGUAGUAGAUAAUAAAGGCUCGAAGAGGAGGUGGACAAGAUUGUUGAUGGAAGGGAGAGUUCAGAUGAAUUCAUGAAAUGCUUUGUGCGUCAUUUGGGGUUAAUAGUUUGAGAUUUUUCCAAAGAGGAAGAAUGACAUUUAGUAGAUGUUUAUCAUGAAAAGUAAGAGGUUUUUGAUCAUGAAGCAGUUGAUUUCAGGAAUAUAUUCAAGAUGGCAUUGACUGGGCUAAAGUUGAAUUUGAAGACAACAAAGUGAUACACUAUGCUAAACAAAGAAGAAGAUUUGAACAGAUGGAAAUAGUGAAGAUAGGUUUUCUGGUGCCUUGUUAUUUCCUUUGAUAAAUUUUGCAUUCUCUCUUUGAAUUAAUUUCAUUUUUGCUAUUAAAUGACCUUAUACUAAAAUUUUAACGUUUUCUUCUUCUUAAAAUUCAGGUUGCAGUGUACCCAUGAAAUGUCUCGGCCUUGCACAUGUCUAAACCACAAGGAUUUAAGUACUCUAGUGGACAAUAUAUUUUUGUGAACUGCCCAGAUGUCUCGCCUUUUCAAUGGUAAGUG